rnacentral:tmRNA from 1 species
GGGGGUGUUACGGAUUCGACAGGAGAAAUGAGGACUGUGUAAGCACGGCGAAGGCUCGGCUUCGUAAAAACGGAAAUUAAAUUUAAACGCUAAUAAUAACAAACAAAUUGCCGUAGCUGCUUAAUCGCUCGGCUGUCGUCCAUAGACUCCACGACUUUGGAACGGCAUCAGUAAGUGGAAAGUGCCUAAGGGAAGCGCCCGCACCCAUAGGCGAGAUUAGGGCUUGUUCGACGACGACUUGGUAGCGUUGGCGCCGUCGAAGACCAAUCAACGCAUACUAACCGUGUAGAAAGCCCAGUAGGAAUUCUUUUGGACGCGGGUUCAACUCCCGCCAUCUCCACCA